rnacentral:rRNA from 1 species
UACGUAGGGUGCGAGCGUUGUCCGGAAUUAUUGGGCGUAAAGAGCUCGUAGGCGGCCUGUUGCGUCCGCUGUGAAAUCCCGGGGCUUAACCCCGGGCUUGCAGUGGAUACGGGCAGGCUGGAGGCAGGCAGGGGAGAACGGAAUUCCCGGGUGUAGCGGUGAAAUGCGCAGAUAUCGGGAGGAACACCGGUGGCGAAGGCGGUUCUCUGGGCCUGUACUGACGCUGAGGAGCGAAAGCGUGGGGAGCGAACAGG